rnacentral:rRNA from 1 species
GACGAACGCUGGCGGCGUGCUUAACACAUGCAAGUCGAACGGAGUGGCGAACGGGUGAGUAACACGUGGGUGAUCUGCCUUGCACUUCGGGAUAAGCUUGGGAAACUGGGUCUAAUACCGGAUAGUGCAAGAGGAGCUCGCGGCCUAUCAGCUUGUGGGUGGGGUAAUGGCCUACCAAGGCGUCGACGGGUAGCCGGCCUGAGAGGGUGUACGGCCACAAUGUGACUGCGGGAGGGCCCAGACUGCUACGGGAGGCAGCAGUGGGGAAUAUUGCACAAUGGGCGGAAGGCUGAGGCAGCGACGCCGGGUGGGGGAUGAAGGCUUUCGGGUUGUAAACUCCUUUCGACAGGGACGCGGUACCUGUAUAAGAAGCACCGGCUAACUACGUGCCAGCAGCCGCGGUAAUUC